rnacentral:rRNA from 1 species
UACAGAGGUCCCAAGCGUUGUUCGGAUUCACUGGGCGUAAGGGGUGCGUAGGCGGUCGGGUAAGUCUGAUGUGAAAUCUCACAGCUUAACUGUGAAACUGCAUUGGAUACUAUUCGGCUUGAGAGUUGGAGGGGGGACUGGAAUUCUUGGUGUAGCAGUGAAAUGCGUAGAUAUCAAGAGGAACACCAGUGGCGAAGGCGAGUCCCUGGACAACUUCUGACGCUGAGGCACGAAAGCUAGGGGAGCAAACAGG